CCUACGGGAGGCAGCAGUGGGGAAUAUUGGGCAAUGGAGGAAACUCUGACCCAGCGACGCCGCGUGCGGGAUGAAGGCCUUCGGGUUGUAAACCGCUUUCAGUAGGGAAGAAGCGAAAGUGACGGUACCUACAGAAGAAGCACCGGCUAACUAUGUGCCAGCAGCCGCGGUAAUACAUAGGGUGCAAGCGUUGUCCGGAAUUAUUGGGCGUAAAGAGCUCGUAGGUGGUUCGUCACGUCGGAUGUGAAAAUCUGGGGCUCAACCCCAGACCUGCAUUCGAUACGGGCGAUCUAGAGUGUGGUAGGGGAGACUGGAAUUCCUGGUGUAGCGGUGGAAUGCGCAGAUAUCAGGAGGAACACCAAUGGCGAAGGCAGGUCUCUGGGCCAUUACUGACACUGAGGAGCGAAAGCGUGGGGAGCGAACAGGAUUAGAUACCCUGGUAGUCCACGCCGUAAACGGUGGGCACUAGUUGUGGGAACCUUCCACGGUUUCUGCGACGCAGCUAACGCAUUAAGUGCCCCGCCUGGGGAGUACGAUCGCAAGNUUAAAACUUAAAGAUAGUCGCGNGNGAGNGCGACGACGACGACGAGGAGGAGG
rnacentral:rRNA from 1 species